rnacentral:rRNA from 1 species
UACGUAGGGAGCAAGCGUUGUCCGGAUUCAUUGGGCGUAAAGAGCUCGUAGGCGGCUUGGCAAGUCGGGUGUGAAAACUCCAGCUCAACCUGGAGACGCCACCCGAUACUGCCAUGGCUAGAGUCCGGUAGGGGACCACGGAAUUCCUGGUGUAGCGGUGGAAAUGCGCAGAUAUCAGGAGGAACACCGGUGGCGAAGGCGGUGGUCUGGGCCGGAACUGACGCUGAGGAGCGAAAGCGUGGGGAGCGAACAGG